UACGUAGGUGGCAAGCGUUGUCCGGAUUUACUGGGCGUAAAGGGCGUGCAGGCGGUCUGUUAAGUGCAGGGUGAAAGCUCCCGGCUCAACUGGGAGAGGUCCUUGCAUACUGGCGGACUUGAGGGGGGUAGAGGAAAGUGGAAUUCCUGGUGUAGCGGUGAAAUGCGCAGAUAUCAGGAGGAACACCAGUGGCGAAGGCGGUGCUCUGGGCCGGAACUGACGCUGAGGAGCGAAAGCGUGGGGAGCAAACAGG
rnacentral:rRNA from 1 species